UCCUGAGAAAAAUUUGAAUUCAAAUCAGUCUCGAAUAAUAUCCGUCCUUUCCCCAGUACCCAUACUUUUUUACAAUUUUGUAAAGACGCUGCAUGAUGAGCAACUACAAAAACUGUACAAUGAGGGAAAUAUUGUCUUAAUAAUUGAUGUAUAGGUACAUAAUCAAUAGUAUCUUCUUGAAAUACAUCAGGUGGAGGCUCAUCAACUAGAAUUAAUCUGUAGCUCUUUGCAUUUAAAACUAAUCUUGCUAAUGAUAAAUAUCUUAAUUGAGAAUCUGAUAAAUAUCUCUCAUCGUCUGGAGUCUCAGAAUGACUUGAAUUUAUACAGUUAGUCAUCUUUGAUUUUUGUUCUGUCUUGAUUGAAUUCUCUGAAAUAUUAUUACUAUUAUAUGUAGCUCCUGAACUAUUAUCUGGUACUAUUACAGCAUCAAGCAUCUUCCCACCUGGUAACGACCUAAUUAAACUUGAUAAACCACAUAAAUUAAGAGCAUCCCAAAUAUCAUCCUUUGAGAAUUUUUGGUAUGGAUCUAAAAAGUUGCGAACUGUCCAACCUUUCAGAAUUAAGGGUACCUGUGGAAGAAUACCUAUCAAUUUAUUUCUAUCUUCAUUACUCAUUUGAUCAAUUGGAAUAUUAUCUAAAAAUACUCUGCCAUUAGUUAUUGGAACUAAACCUAAAAUUGCCUGUAAAAAUGUUGAUUUACCACUACCUGUUCUGCCUAUUACUCCAAUAUGUUCGUUUGGACCAGUGCAAGCAUUCAUCUUAUUAAUUGCUGGAGGGAAGUAAAUUUCAUCAGGAUUAUCUGCUGGAUUACUAUUUGGACGUCUAUAUCUAACCUCUAAAUCAAUGAUCUUUACACCACUUUUUAUAUUUUCUAUAUUCUUCUCUUGUUUUUCUAUAUCUUCAACCUUACAUGGAGAAGAAAAUGGUAAAUUAUAAAUCUUCUCCUUAUUCAAAAUCUCAUAAUAUUGAUGUAACCUCUCCACAGAAAUCAUCUCUUUCUCCAUAUUUACAUAUGAUGUUAUUGUCAUACCAAUAUUUGAAGCAAUUGAUUCUGAGUAAUAUAAUGCUAUACCAACAAUACCAGCCCCUGGACCUGAUCCUAAUCUUGUAUUCAUAUCGGAUGUCUGACCUUCUAAUAAAGUAUCUGAUGGACUAGAAAAGAAAUCAGAAAUUAAAGCGGUGAAAAAGUUUGAAGACAUUGCUGUUAAUGGAAAAGUUAAAAGUUGAGUUCUUAAAGAAGACCAUUCUUUUGAACAUAGUUGCAUAAAUUUAGCUCUUUGAACCAUAUCAAUAAUCUCGGUACCCUGUAACAUAUAAUGAUCUUGAGCACGAAAGGCUCUAAUUAUUGGCCCUCCACUCAUUGCUUCAGAGAAUACUCCACAUAAUGGUGAAUAUAAUACAAGACACAUUCUUUGAAGUUCACGGGAAGAUCUUGAAAAAUAUCUUGCAACUGCAUAAUAAAUACCCAAUCCAAUCAUUGGAAAAAGAAAUACUACUGAAGGUUCUGCUGAUACUACUACAAUACAUUGAAAUAAAACAUUCAUUGCUCCAACUAAAACCGUAGCAAUCUUCAUUAUUGGGAUAUUAUCUACCAUAAGUAGAUCUGUACUGAAUCUACUAAGAACUCUACCAACAGGGUUAGAAUCAAAAAAGUUUAAUGGAGCAUUUAAAACAUCAACCAAUAAAUUAUCAUGAAUUUCUAUGGCUGCUUUAAUACCACAAAUUGCUUCUCCAAUAAAAACCAUUGAGCUCACAGCUAAUUGUAUUAGUGCUAAAAUAAUAUAAAUUAAUGCAAAUUUUUUACCCUCAAAGAUGGAUUUGUCAACAUCAGUAAGAGGAGCUCUUGAAGUAUAUGAACCCAUAUAAUAAUCUGUACCUUUAUCAAACAUAGUUUUUGAAUAACAUAAUAUAAAUAAUGCUAUAGUCCAACUCCAUUUAAGCUUUGAAAAGUACCAAUAAUAAGUCUUCUUUGAAACCAUACCAGUAACUCUCCCCUCUU
rnacentral:antisense_RNA from 1 species